CGGCAGCACGGGAAGCUUGCUUCCUGGUGGCGAGCGGCGGACGGGUGAGUAAUGCAUAGAAAUCUGCCCGGUAGUGGGGGAUAACCUGGGGAAACCCAGGCUAAUACCGCAUACGUCCUACGGGAGAAAGCAGGGGAUCUUCGGACCUUGCGCUAUCGGAUGAGUCUAUGUCGGAUUAGCUUGUUGGUGAGGUAAUGGCUCACCAAGGCGACGAUCCGUAGCUGGUCUGAGAGGAUGAUCAGCCACAUCGGGACUGAGACACGGCCCGAACUCCUACGGGAGGCAGCAGUGGGGAAUAUUGGACAAUGGGCGAAAGCCUGAUCCAGCCAUGCCGCGUGUGUGAAGAAGGCCUUCGGGUUGUAAAGCACUUUCAGUGGGGAAGAAAGCCUUGGGGCUAAUACCCUCGAGGAAGGACAUCACCCACAGAAGAAGCACCGGCUAACUCCGUGCCAGCAGCCGCGGUAAUACGGAGGGUGCGAGCGUUAAUCGGAAUUACUGGGCGUAAAGCGCGCGUAGGCGGUCUGAUAAGCCGGUUGUGAAAGCCCCGGGCUCAACCUGGGAACGGCAUCCGGAACUGUCAGGCUAGAGUGCAGGAGAGGAAGGUAGAAUUCCCGGUGUAGCGGUGAAAUGCGUAGAGAUCGGGAGGAAUACCAGUGGCGAAGGCGGCCUUCUGGACUGACACUGACGCUGAGGUGCGAAAGCGUGGGUAGCAAACAGGAUUAGAUACCCUGGUAGUCCACGCCGUAAACGAUGUCGACUAGCCGUUGGGGUCCUUGAGACCUUUGUGGCGCAGUUAACGCGAUAAGUCGACCGCCUGGGGAGUACGGCCGCAAGGUUAAAACUCAAAUGAAUUGACGGGGGCCCGCACAAGCGGUGGAGCAUGUGGUUUAAUUCGAUGCAACGCGAAGAACCUUACCUACCCUUGACAUCGUGCGAACUU
rnacentral:rRNA from 1 species